rnacentral:rRNA from 1 species
AUUGAACGCUGGCGGCAGGCCUAACACAUGCAAGUCGAGCGGAGCGGCGGACGGGUGAGUAAUGCCUAGGAAUCUGCCUGGUAGUGGGGGAUAACGUCCGGUACUGGGCGCUAAUACCGCUAACUAUCAGAUGCGCCUAGGUCGGUUUAGCAAGUUGGUGGGGUAAAGGCAAACGAAGGCGACGAUCCGUAACUGGUCUGAGAGGAUGAUCAGUCAAACUGGAACUGAGAAACGGUCCAGACUCCUACGGGAGGCAGCAGUGGGGAAUAUUGGACAAUGGGCGAAAGCCUGAUCCAGCCAUGCCGCGUGUGUGAAGAAGGUCUUCGGAUUGUAAAGCACUUUAAGUUGGGAGGCGUUACCAGCAGAAUAAGCACCGGCUAACUUCGUGCCAGCAGCCGCGGUAAUUC